UACGGAGGGUGCAAGCGUUAUCCGGAUUUACUGGGUUUAAAGGGUGCGUAGGUGGGUUGGUAAGUCAGUGGUGAAAUACUUUCGCUUAACGAAGGAACUGCCAUUGAUACUACCAGUCUUGAAUACAGUGGAGGUAGGCGGAAUGCGUCAUGUAGCGGUGAAAUGCUUAGAUAUGACAUAGAACACCAAUUGCGAAGGCAGCUCACUACACAAUCAUUGACGCUGAGGCACGAAAGCGUGGGGAUCAAACAGG
rnacentral:rRNA from 1 species